UCUAUAACUCGAGAUAUGGGCCGAACAGUGUUUGGGCUGCAGGACAGAUUUCGACUUCUCUGUUGUUGCUACCAUUUGAACUCGAAAAUGGCACUUUUAAAUCUUGGACUCUUCAUGAAAGUUUUAGGUCUAUGUCUUAGCUUGCCAUA
rfam:Populus trichocarpa scaffold_9_contig_52, whole genome shotgun sequence.